AAUGUGGGUAUCUGCCUUUUGGUUUGGAAUAACAUGAGGAAACUUGUGCUAAUACCGAAUAAGCCCUUACGGGGAAAGUUUUAACGCCGAAAGAUGAGCUCGCACUUGAUUAGCUAGUUGGUAGGGUAAAAGCCUACCAAGGCUACGAUCAAUAGCUGAUUUGAGAGGAUGAUCAGCCACAUUGGGACUGAGACACGGCCCAGACUCCUACGGGAGGCAGCAGUGGGGAAUCUUGCACAAUGGGGGAAACCCUGAUGCAGCGAUGCCGCGUGAGUGAAGAAGGCCUUUGGGUUGUAAAGCUCUUUCGUCGGGGAAGAAAAUGACUGUACCCGAAUAAGAAGGUCCGGCUAACUUCGUGCCAGCAGCCGCGGUAAUACGAAGGGACCUAGCGUAGUUCGGAAUUACUGGGCUUAAAGGGCUCGUAGGUGGUUAGAAAAGUUGGUGGUGAAAUCCCAAGGCUUAACCUUGGAACUGCCAUCAAAACUUUUUAACUAGAGUAUGAUAGAGGAAAGUGGAAUUUCUAGUGUAGAGGUGAAAUUCGUAGAUAUUAGAAAGAACACCGAUUGCGAAGGCAACUUUCUGGAUCAUUACUGACACUGAGGAGCGAAAGCAUGGGUAGCGAAGAGGAUUAGAUACCCUCGUAGUCCAUGCUGUAAACGAUGUGUGCUAGACGUUGGAAAUUUAUUUUUC
rnacentral:rRNA from 1 species